ACGCUCUAUCGCUCUUGUGGCGCGCAUGUGAAAAGCGCAUCACCAUUGUCUAUCUACGUUCUUGGCGUAGGAAUUAAAAUGUGCUCAAACACAGGCACACACUCAUUACCUGCUGGGCAGAUAAGGCAGAAACACAAUGAAGCAGCAAGGUCCAUUCAUCCAGUGUAGUGAGAUGCUUCCGCAGGCUGCUCUAGGUCUCCGGUGGGGUUCUGAACGGACACACCGGGCAGGCAGCAAAACCUCCAAAUGAUAAGCGCUGUAGUUUUCAAAAACAAAACAAGAUUAGUCGUAAAUAGUUUACUAAUUUUGUGUCGUUGAGUCGUGUUGUUUACAGUUGCUAUGUCUCAGUUAACUACGAUCAUAAAUCAAACGAGUCGAAUUUGACUUAUUCUCAGCUACAGGCUGCUCCGACGGAAAAAAACAAUAUAAUAAAGCUAUCGUAAAGAUAUUUCAAAUCCGGUAGCUAAAAGAACACGUCGCACUCUGCCGGAAGGGACGAUUUUUUCCGACACGAUGUUCUAUGUUCUCAAUAUUAUGCUCCGUUCGCUGCACGGGGUUGUCUCUUCACUGUAUGUUGUGGUUUAUUUCAUUGUUUUUAUUUCAUUUGAUUUUUGUUGUUUCUUGUUUGCUUCUUCGCUUAUGCGCUGCGCUGCUUCGUUUCUUCGUGCAUUUCAUAAACCUUAUUCAAACCGCCUGUUCCGGCCCGUCUUUCAUCCACCUUUCCUCUGCUGUGCUAUUAUAACGCCUUUGCCAAGCAUUUCUGUAAUUGUGUUCGACAACCUCUCUCGCGUUCGCUACCCAUAUUUGUGUCUUCUUUGUUCCUCCUCGGUCCACACCACAGCAUCUCCUCCAUUAGUUUUGUUUGUCUAGUCUUUUGCGAUCGUGCAAGACGAAGUAAACACGAGUAUCACAUGCCUCCCACAUCAUCAUCAUUUACAAGCAAUUCUUGUCCCCGCACUUUCCACUUCCAAUCAAUAAACCAAUCGUUCGUGCAUGGUCGUCGUCUGUCUGCUUGCUGUUUGUCUUUUCAUCCCAGAUUUUUCAAUGCCGCCCCGCACUACACCACGCUGGCAGCGAAAAUUUUUUCAAAUGCUUCUGGGCGAACAAAACAAAACAUAAACUAACGAAAUAAAAAAAAAACAUGUCGG